rnacentral:rRNA from 1 species
GACGAACGUUGGCGGCGUGCUUAAUACAUGCAAGUCAACUGAAGCAGUGGUAGCAAUAUCGCUGUGGAGGUGGCGCACGGGUGAGUAACACGUAGGUAAUCUGCCUUCAGGUCUGGCAUAACUCCGGGAAACCGGGGCUAAUAGCAGGUGAUGCAGCGGCUCGACAUCGAGACAGUUGUUAAAGCUAUGGCGCCUGAAGAUGAGCCUGCGUCUGAUUAGCUAGUUGGCGGGGUAACGGCCCACCAAGGCAACGAUCAGUAGCUGGUCUGAGAGGAUGAUCAGCCACACUGGAACUGAGACACGGUCCAGACUCCUACGGGAGGCAGCAGUAAGGAAUAUUGCUCAAUGGGAGAAAUCCUGAAGCAGCAACGCCGCGUGAGGGACGAAGGGCUUUGGCUUGUAAACCUCUGUAGUGAGAGAAAAAAAUCCCAAUCUUUGGGACAUGAUGGUAUCUCAAAAGUAAGCCCCGGCUAACUACGUG